UAAUUCAUUAAUUUCUAUGUCUAAGGGC
rnacentral:piRNA from 1 species